AUGUCGCUCAUGCCUUGGUUCGGCGGUGGCCGGGGAGGGAUGGACCCCUUCUCCUCCGACCUCUGGGACCCCUUCGGCUCUCCUUGGCCCUUGGACGGCGGCCGCCGCGAAGGCGGCAGCCGUGACGACGCGACCGCCAUGGCUCGCACCAACGUCGACUGGCACGAGAACGACAAGGAGCACAUCUUCUCCGCGGAGAUCCCCGGGGUGCGGAAGGAGGACGUGAAGGUGGAGGUGGAGGACGGCAACGUGCUCAAGAUCAGCGGGGAGAAGACGCGGGAGGAGGAGCACAAGGGCGACGCCUGGAACCGCGUGGAGCGCAGCUUCGGGUCCUUCAUGCGCCGGUUCCGCCUGCCGGAGAACGCCAAGGCGGACGGCAUCCGGUGCACCAUGCAGGACGGCGUGCUCAGGGUCGUCGUGCCCAAGGACGAAGAGGCCCAGAAGCAGCGCAACGUCCGCUCCAUCGACAUCGCCUAA
rnacentral:rRNA from 1 species